UCCCAGCAUCCACUCACUUCUGAAUUAUUAGUUCAUCCUUGGGAAUGAAGGAGAAUUAUUGAGAACCUUGAUCUUGUUUGUCUCCUGUUCAUCUUCCUCUCCGGAGAGGUGAUCUGAGUAGAGAUCUCCAGGUGUAGAAACCUCUGGUCUCUUGUUCUGCAUGUAUUUUGGUUAUUUGGUUUUUCUUAUGUGUUUGGAAUUGUAUGUUUUGGUAUUGAAGGAUCAGUGAAGAUCCAGUUUUGGUUUGCUUAACCUCUUGAAUGUUGGUAUUCUCCUAGACAAACCUGUAGAUCUGUGCAGGGAUUUGGGAGAGUUGCAACAGGCUCCCAGUGAACCACCCUUUGGGAAGAUCGAGCUAUAUUCGCCGAAGUUCUACGCGGCCUGCACCUUCGGUGGGAUCCUCAGCUGAUAUUCACCAUUUGGUUUUGACUUGCUGAUCCGUUGCUAGAGUUGGUUGUUUGUUGAUUUGAUGAUAGAUUUGUUCUGUUUUGGACCUGAACUUUUGAACAAUUUGUGGGCUCUUGAUUUUUAAUGGUUUAUGGUAGUAUUUGUCGAUCAUAUUCUUUGAUCUUAGUCAUCUGAGUUGCCUAUUCUUGCUUUUGAUCGAAUGAUAUGUGUGCUGGAUCUAUUUUGCUGAAAGAGAUGAAGGAUUCGUGCUGUAGAUCUGGUUUCUUCUUUGAUUUGAGGUUUCUUUGUAUUUGUUUAAUGGUUUUGACUGAUAUUUUGCUUUUCCUUACCGCAUAGGCCUUGGAUCUAAAAUAGAUGUGCUGGUUAGCUGUUGAUUUGCUGAUAUUUUGAAGGAAUGUUUGCUUAUUUGAAGAAUAUUUUUGGUUUUUUUAGAGUUCUAGUCAUUACUUAUUUUUUUUUUUACUGGUUUUUAUCUUAUGUAGGUCUGUUUCUUUUGUAUAUAUUUCUGAUAUUAUCAGCUGCUGGUUGCCCUGAUUUUCUUUCAUUCUUGUGAAUUUAUUGGUUCUUUAUCUUUUCAACUGAUUCCUUGUCAUGUUGAAUGAGUAUUACUGCCAAUUCUCUCUCUUUGUAUUAGCUGUAAUUGUGCGAAAACCUUUUAAAGGGAGAUUAUAUCAUGAAUUGGAGAGCAAAGGUUGGCAUAUAAAUCUGUAUUGUUCCCCAGCUCUUUUGAACACUGUCCUUAUUUCUAGCCAUUAUUUCAUGGAUCAUAGCUAUAUGCAUCCUUUGGCAGCUGAAUUGGGUCUUAUUUUUUUUGUUCUGUAUUUUCUCAAUUUAUUCUUGUCAUGUCUCCUUAAUUUGUACUUAUGGUUGUUUGACAAUUAUAACUUCAAAUAGUUGGUUGCUUUCAAUUUUGUCUUUUGAUGUCCUGAUAUUCUUGUGACCUAACUUUGGAGGGUUUUUUUUUUCCUUUUGUUCUUUCAGAGUUUUUUAUAUGGCAAAGAUGCUGAAUAUCUUCCUUCAAUCAAAUGUUCCAGACUUUGGAUGCUCCUUGUUUUUUAUAUGGCAAAGAUGCUAUGUGGUUUACUAAACCUUAUGGUUUUACUGCAAUUAUGCAGAUUGAUCCUGCAAAAUAUUAGAGCAUCUCUUUAGGAUUUGGAGUCCUGCUAAAAGAGCAGGGAGUAAGAGGUUACUUCAGCGGUUGGAAAUCCAGUUCUUGAGUUCUCCACAGACUUCAAUUCAAGAGCAGAGUACUUCUGGUCUCAUGGACUAAUUUCUGAUUCAACUAAUAAUCUCUUCACCUCUGCAUGCAAUUAUUCAAGUUAUGUCAGUGAGUAUUACAGAGGAAUGCUUUACUAUGUAUGUUACUUUCACAAUCUUUGGCACUGAAAAGAUGUCCAAGAUGCACUUCAUGCAAAGCUUAAUGGAGUUACAGAAUGGACAGUAUGCAGCAGUGUUCUUCAGUAUCAGCUUCUCAACUUGGAAAAACCGACAAUAACUGUUGUAGGUUCUCUGAUCAAAUAUGGAAUACCGGUUCUCAUUUACAGUAGAUAAAUCGGGCAAAGAACUUGGACUGAACACAACAGUGCCUUACUAAUGAUGUUGGCGAACCGAUGAGCUGGAUCAGAGCUUCCUCUGAACCAAAAUAGUAAGCAGCCAAAGCCUUGGCCAAUUCAGAUUUCCCUACACCAGUUGGACCAGAGAAUAUGAAGCCAGCAACUGGCCGAUUAGGAUUCUUAAGACCAACCCGGGCUCGGUGAAUGCAGAAGUACAAUUAUGUACCUGCAUCCAUCAGCAAGCUAUGGCCAUGGGAACAAACAAAAGCUGAACCUGCCAAGUGACCUUCAUCAUUACACUAACUAUGCCGAGAAGUUGUAUUGUUGUCAGAGAGGGAUAUCAAGAUCCACAACACUCUGAUCCACAUAGACCUGAUAAUUCAUAAAUAUAAAGUGAUACAACAUCCUUCCAGAAGCACUGGGAAUCAAGCAGUUAAAGCAGCUAAGGGGGUGUUUGGUUUGGAGUAGUGGAGUGGGAAUGACUCUUUACAUUGGGUAAGCAUUUAUUUGGAUGUGGAGUAAUGGGAGUGGGAGAUGAUUGAGGAAGGAGUGAAGGGGUUGUGGAGGGGUAUUCACAAUCAUGAGAAAAAUGGGGGGAUUCUUGAUUCCUUACUCAUGAAAUGACUAUAUUGCCCUUGU